UACGUAGGGGGCAAGCGUUGUCCGGAUUUAUUGGGCGUAAAGAGCGUGUAGGCGGCUAGGUAGGUCCGUUGUGAAAACUCGAGGCUCAACCUCGAGACGUCGAUGGAAACCAUCUAGCUAGAGUCCGGAAGAGGAGAGUGGAAUUCCUGGUGUAGCGGUGAAAUGCGCAGAUAUCAGGAAGAACACCCGUGGCGAAGGCGGCUCUCUGGUACGUGACUGACGCUGAGACGCGAAAGCGUGGGGAGCGAAGCAGG
rnacentral:rRNA from 1 species